ACAGUGGGUGAAAUGUGAUUGGCCAAUAGAGAUUCCUGCUGUCUUAGUUUCCCUGACCUGAUGGACUGAAAGCUACAAUUGAAGAGGCGGCAAGCAACAUGAAAAAAUGAAAAAUGCAGGGUAGCAUGCACUGACAUCCCAUAACCUAUUACACAAAGAUAUCUGUCACAUCUAUAGGCAUGUGGAUGAAUGUCCAACUCUUGGUAUCCUGAUAUCCCCAUCCAUUUUCAACUAUCUGGCAAGCCUGAGGCAUGCUGGAUGGACAGUCUUCUAGGAGUGGAUUUUUGAUGCUAUUAAAAAUUUUGCAUAAUAUCAUAACUGA